rnacentral:rRNA from 1 species
UUUGUAUAAUGGGUCAGCGACUUAUAUUCAGUGGCAAGGUUAACCAUCUAGGGGAGCCGUAGGGAAACCGAGUCUUAACUGGGCGUUCAGUCUCUGGAUAUAGACCCGAAACCAGGUGAUCUAGCCAUGGGCAGGUUGAAGGUUGAGUAACAUCAACUGGAGGACCGAACCGACUAAUGUUGAAAAAUUAGCGGAUGACUUGUGGCUAGGGGUGAAAGGCCAAUCAAACCUGGAGAUAGCUGGUUCUCCCCGAAAGCUAUUUAGGUAGCGCCUCGGACGAAUACUACUGGGGGUAGAGCACUGUUAAGGCUAGGGGGUCAUCCCGACUUACCAACCCUUUGCAAACUCCGAAUACCAGUAAGUACUAUCCGGGAGACACACGGCGGGUGCUAACGUCCGUCGUGGAGAGGGAAACAACCCAGACCGCCAGCUAAGGUCCCAAAUUACUACUAAGUGGGAAACGAUGUGGGAAGGCUCAGACAGCCAGGAUGUUGGCUUAGAAGCAGCCAUCAUUUAAAGAAAGCGUAAUAGCUCACUGGUCGAGUCGGCCUGCGCGGAAGAUGUAACGGGGCUAAGUAGUAAACCGAAGCUGCGGCAAUAUACUUUUGUAUAUUGGGUAGGGGAGCGUUCUGUAAGCGGUUGAAGGUGUGUGGUAACGCAUGCUGGACGUAUCAGAAGUGCGAAUGCUGACAUGAGUAACGAUAAAGGGGGUGAAAAACCUCCUCGCCGGAAGACCAAGGGUUCCUGUCCAACGUUAAUCGGGGCAGGGUAAGUCGACCCCUAAGGCGAGGCCGAAAGGCGUAGUCGAUGGGAAACGGGUUAAUAUUCCCGUACUUCUUACAAUUGCGAUGGGGGGACGGAGAAGGCUAGGUGGGCCUGGCGACGGUUGUCCAGGUUCAAGUGCGUAGGCUUAAGAGUUAGGUAAAUCCGGCUCUUUUUAAGGCUGAGACACGACGUCGAGCACCUACGGGUGUGAAGUCAUUGAUGCCAUGCUUCCAGGAAAAGCCUCUAAGCUUCAGAUUGUAAGGAAUCGUACCCCAAACCGACACAGGUGGUCGGGUAGAGAAUACCAAGGCGCUUGAGAGAACUCGGGUGAAGGAACUAGGCAAAAUGGUACCGUAACUUCGGGAGAAGGUACGCUCUUGAUGGUGAAGUCCCUUGCGGAUGGAGCUGACGAGAGUCGCAGAUACCAGGUGGCUGCAACUGUUUAUUAAAAACACAGCACUGUGCAAAAUCGUAAGAUGACGUAUACGGUGUGACGCCUGCCCGGUGCCGGAAGGUUAAUUGAUGGGGUUAGACUUCGGUCGAAGCUCUUGAUCGAAGCCCCGGUAAACGGCGGCCGUAACUAUAACGGUCCUAAGGUAGCGAAAUUCCUUGUCGGGUAAGUUCCGACCUGCACGAAUGGCGUAAUGAUGGCCACGCUGUCUCCACCCGAGACUCAGUGAAAUUGAAAUCGCUGUGAAGAUGCAGUGUACCCGCGGCUAGACGGAAAGACCCCGUGAACCUUUACUACAGCUUGGCACUGAACAUUGACCCUACAUGUGUAGGAU